GUUGUUCCUGUUGGGAGAGGCAAUCAGCAGGUGUUAUAUCCUGGAAUGUGUCUGUUCUACUCAUUGUAUUUAACAGCAUCCCAAGACUGGAAACUCUUGGGAAUCUCACCUGCCAUGGACAGCACUGAAGCAAGCCUCUGCUUCAGCCGAACUGUGCAAGUGCUUGAGGACCAGGCCUUUGAGAAGUAGCACCAGACACCGGUCGUCCACCUGGUACUCACUGGCUGAAGGUAAUGGGGAAGAAUAGGAAGAAAAACGGCAAGAAGAGAGGUGAACCAGGCUAAGCAGUUGCUGCCCCUAACUCCACACUAGAGGAGCACUUGGCAGUUCAUGUGCAUUCAGAUUAUUCUCAACCCUACAACUAGGAAGGAGAACUCAGUGUUUCGCCACUUACAUGAAUUUCCCUGCCCAGUUUACUUGUGAGCUGGAACAGACACUUUG